rnacentral:rRNA from 1 species
GAUGAACGCUGGCGGCGUGCCUAAUACAUGCAAGUCGAGCGAACAGACGAGGAGCUUGCUCCUUUGACGUUAGCGGCGGACGGGUGAGUAACACGUAGGUAACCUACCUAUAAGACUGGGAUAACUUCGGGAAACCGGAGCUAAUACCGGAUAAUAUUUCGAACCGCAUGGUUCGAUAGUGAAAGAUGGCUUUGCUAUCACUUAUAGAUGGACCUGCGCCAUAUUAGCUAGUUGGUAAGGUAACGGCUUACCAAGGCAACGAUACGUAGCCGACCUGAGAGGGUGAUCGGCGACACUGGAACUGAGACACGGUCCAGACUCCUACGGGAGGCAGCAGUAGGGAAUCUUCCGCAAAGGGCGAAAGCCUGACGGAGCAACGGCGCGUGAGUGAUGAAGGUCUUCGGAUCGUAAAACUCUGUUACUAGGGAAGAACAAACGUGUAAGUAACUGUGCACGUCUUGACGGUACCUAAUCAGAAAGCCACGGCUAACUACGUG